UUCCGUAACAGGAAGUGGAGGGCCGAACCGUUGUAUGUUGAAAAAUACUCGGAUGAGGUGUGGGUAGGAGUGAAAGGCUUAUCAAACCCGGGAAUAGCUGGUUCUCCUCGAAAUAGCUUUAGGGCUAGCCUGUGGUAAUACUCAUCUCGGAGGUAGAGCACUGACUGGGAUAUGGCCCAUACCAGGGUACUGACACCAAUCAAACUCCGAAUGCCGAGAACAGAUAACCAUGGAGUCACACUGCGGGGGAUAAGCUUCGUAGUGGAAAGGGAAACAGCCCAGACCGCCAGUUAAGGUCCCUAAAAUGUACUAAGUGCGUAAAGGAUGUGAAAUUGCUAAGACAGCGAGGAUGUUGGCUUAGAGGCAGCCACCAUUUAAACAAUGCGUAAUAGCUGACUCGUCGAGUGGUUUUGCGCCGAAAAUGAACGGGACUAAAGCAUAUUACCGAAACUGCGGAUCCGUUAGGAUGGUAGAGGAGCGUCGUACCUGCAUUGAAGGAUGAGGGCAACCGAUUCUGGAGCGCGUACGAGCGAUUAUGCGGACAUGAGUAACGAUAAACCAAGUGAGAAUCUUGGUCGCCGAAACCCUAAGAUUUCCUGGGGAAGGAUCGUCCUCCCAGGGUUAGUCGGCCCCUAAGGCGAGGCCUAACGGCGUAGUCGAUGGGAAACAGGUUAAAUAUUCCUGUACUAUUAUAAGUGUGCGAUGGAUGGACGCAGGAGGCUAAUCACGCUGGCCGUUGGUUGUGCCAGUACAAGCGCGUAGGCCGUUCUUACUAAUCUUCGAACAUAAGGUUGAAACGUGAUGUGGACGGAGCCCUCACGGGCGAUGGAAGGUGAUGAUGCCAUGCUGUCAAGAAAAGAUCCUAAGUUUAGCUUAUAAUAACCGUAUCGGAAACCGACACAGGUAGGGUGGUAGAGUAUACCGAGGCGCGCUAGAGAAACCUCGUUAAGGAACUCGGCAAAUUAGCCCCGUAUCUUCGGAAGAAGGGGUCCCCACUUUGUGGGGCGCAGUGAAAAGGCUCAGGCGACUGUUUACCAAAAACAUAGCACUCUGCGAACUCGAAAGAGGAUGUAUAGGGUGUGACACGUGACCAAUGCCAAAAGGUUAAGGCAAGGGGUUAGCAGAAUUUAUUCAGCGAAGCUCCGACCCGAAGCCCUGGUGAAUGUCGGCCGUAACUAUAACGGUCCUAAGGUAGCGAAAUUCCUUGUCGGGUAAGUUCCGACCUGCACGAAUCGUGUAACGAUCUGAGCACUGUCUCAACGAGGAUCCAGGUGAGAUC
rnacentral:rRNA from 1 species